CUCCGGCCCGCAUUGUAAUUUGCAGAGGAUGCUUUUGGCGAGGUGCCUUCCGAGUUCCCUGGAACGGGACGCCAUAGAGGGUGAGAGCCCCGUAUGGAUGGACACCAGACCUGUGUAAAGCUCCUUCAACGAGUCGAGUAGUUUGGGAAUGCUGCUCUAAAUGGGAGGUAAAUCUCUUCUAAAGCUAAAUACCGGCCAGAGACCGAUAGCGCACAAGUAGAGUGAUCGAAAGAUGAAAAGCACCUUGAAAAGGGGGUUAAACAGUACGUGAAAUUGUUGAAAGGGAAGCAUUUAUGACCAGACUUGCGCCGGGCAGCUCAUCAGGGGUUCUCCCCUGUGCACUCUGCCCGGCUCAGGCCAGCAUCGGUUCUCGUGGGAGGAUAAGAACAGUGGGAACGUGGCCCCCCUCCGGGGGGGUGUUAUAGCCCAUUGUACGAUACUCUCGUGGGGACCGAGGUUCGCGCUCCGCAAGGAUGCUGGCGUAAUGGUCAUCAAUGACCCGUCUUGAAACACGGACCAAGGAGUCGUCCAUUAGAGCGAGCGUUUGGGUGUAAAACCCGCACGCGUAAUGAAAGUGAACGCAGGUGAGAGCUUCGGCGCAUCAUCGACCGAUCCUGAUGUCUUCGGAUGGAUUUGAGUAAGAGUUUUAACGGACGGACCCGAAAGACAGUGAACUAUGCUUGUAUAGGGUGAAGCCAGAGGAAACUCUGGUGGAGGCUCGCAGCGGUUCUGACGUGCAAAUCGAUCGUCAAAUAUGAGCAUGGGGGCGAAAGACUAAUCGAACUGUCUAGUAGCUGGUUACCGCCGAAGUUUCCCUCAGGAUAGCAGUGUUGUUCUUCAGUUUUAUGAGGUAAAGCGAAUGAUUAGGGACUCGGGGGCGCUUAUUAGCCUUCAUCCAUUCUCAAACUUUAAAUAUGUAAGAAGCCCUUGUUACUUAAUUGAACGUGGGCAUUCGAAUGUACCAACACUAGUGGGCCAUUUUUGGUAAGCAGAACUGGCGAUGCGGGAUGAACCGAACGCGGGGUUAAGGCGCCAGAGUGUACGCUCAUCAGACACCACAAAAGGCGUUAGUACAUCUUGACAGCAGGACGGUGGCCAUGGAAGUCGGAAUCCGCUAAGGACUGUGUAACAACUCACCUGCCGAAUGUACU
rnacentral:rRNA from 1 species